rnacentral:rRNA from 1 species
AUUGAACGCUGGCGGCAGGCCUAACACAUGCAAGUCGAGCGGAAACGAGUUAUCUGAACCUUCGGGGAACGAUAACGGCGUCGAGCGGCGGACGGGUGAGUAAUGCCUAGGAAAUUGCCCUGAUGUGGGGGAUAACCAUUGGAAACGAUGGCUAAUACCGCAUGAUGCCUACGGGCCAAAGAGGGGGACCUUCGGGCCUCUCGCGUCAGGAUAUGCCUAGGUGGGAUUAGCUAGUUGGUGAGGUAAGGGCUCACCAAGGCGACGAUCCCUAGCUGGUCUGAGAGGAUGAUCAGCCACACUGGAACUGAGACACGGUCCAGACUCCUACGGGAGGCAGCAGUGGGGAAUAUUGCACAAUGGGCGCAAGCCUGAUGCAGCCAUGCCGCGUGUAUGAAGAAGGCCUUCGGGUUGUAAAGUACUUUCAGUCGUGAGGAAGGCGGCGUCGUUAAUAGCGGCGUUGUUUGACGUUAGCGACAGAAGAAGCACCGGCUAACUCCGUGCCAGCAGCCGCGGUAAUACGGAGGGUGCGAGCGUUAAUCGGAAUUACUGGGCGUAAAGCGCAUGCAGGUGGUUUGUUAAGUCAGAUGUGAAAGCCCGGGGCUCAACCUCGGAAUAGCAUUUGAAACUGGCAGACUAGAGUACUGUAGAGGGGGGUAGAAUUUCAGGUGUAGCGGUGAAAUGCGUAGAGAUCUGAAGGAAUACCGGUGGCGAAGGCGGCCCCCUGGACAGAUACUGACACUCAGAUGCGAAAGCGUGGGGAGCAAACAGG